AUGAAUAUCAAUACUUCACCUCUCAAUCGCGAUUCACGACUUUGUUUCUGGAAUCCGGCCACUAGGGCAAAAACUGAAUACUUUUUAGCAUCUUCUACUAAUUACUUUCAGUUUGCUUUUGGUUACGAUGCUUUAAAUGAAACCUAUAAGGUGGUAGUGUUUCAUGUAGAGUCGGAUGUGGAUGUGAAGCGUGGUAAAACAAGAGGAAUGGUUAAGAUUUACAUUGAAAGUUUCUUAUCAACUCAUUUAAAGUGA